UCCGCGGGUUAGCCCCGCCCCCUCUCGGCGGAUCGGAGUAGCAGCAGUCGGGCCGCUACAUAGAGCCGAUCCGCUGCUCCGGGUCUCAUCUGAGGACUACGACCAUGGAGUAAACAUGGCCCACAAUCGAAGCUUUUUCCUCGAAGCUCUGGAUCGAUCAGAGUCCCGGCGAGACGGAGGGUUCAAGCACAACAACUGGAGCUUCUCUCUCUCUGGGGACAGCGAAGAGGGGAGGAGUCAUGAUGUGAGCGUGGUGAGCAUGGAGGAGAUGGACCGGCAGCAGCCCACCUCCCCCGAGGAGAAAAAGUCUCCGGCUCUGAGGCACUUCACCUCCUCUGAUCCGUUGAGAAUGUAUGAAAACCGACCAAAUACUCACAUGAGGCCUCUGAACAAGCUGGCGCCCAAAAGACUCAGCGAUGUCCCUUUCUCAGUAGCGGCGUCCUCCCCCAUCCCCAACAGAACCAACUAUUUCAUCAUCAGUCCGGCGCCGUCGCAGGGAAUCGUCCUCCAGGGGCGACACUUCCAGCACGCUCAGACGCCCUCCGCCAUACGGAAGCCGGUCCAAAGAAAUGACUUCUCCACCACACAGCAGGCGGUAGAAGUGGACAGCAUCGUCCUCACCUGUCCAGAGAUCUCAGAAGAGGAGACGCUGAACGUGAAGCGGCGCAUCCAGCAGAAGAGGAAGCCGCUGGAGGACUGCUGUACCUUCCCUUUGCAGGUCAAAGCAGCCGAGCCCCAGCGGCCGACCGUCUACCACACGGUGUGCUUGAAGUGCAACAAGCCGAGCGAGGACGUCAGCGAGUGUCGGAGCUGUGGGACCGGGUCGGCGCUGCUGCCCUGUCCGCAGGCCGCGCUGUCGUCCCCGACCCCCCGGCCCCCCAUCCGGUGCCAGCCGUCCCCCGGACCGAACGGCCCGCAGCAGAACUUCUACCAGCCGGCCACGACCGUGAGGGGGCCCCGCGGGGAAUCUCUGCCCGUGAGAAUUGUGACCACCAGGGGGACCCUGCUGCCGCUGAGCAACGGCCGGUCCCCUCCGUUAGCCGGGACGUCGAGCUGCUACGGCGCCAGGAACCCGCCCAAAGGGAAGAGGGUGAAUGCGGCGCAGCGGCACGAGCUCAACGACCCCAUCGUCCUGUCCAGCGACGACGAGGAGGCCGACAACGCCAGCACGGGGAGCGUCAACAGGCUCGACAGCGUCUCCCCUCGACCCGCCGACUCGGCUCACUCCUCACCGGCGCCCUCUGGAGGCCGAGUGGAGGCAGCAGUGAAGAGCGCCGGAGAGCAGGAGGAGCCCAACGCCGAGUUCUUCGAAGACGUCAACAUGAAGAUCACGAUACCACGGAGAGCCCGGAUGAAAGAUCAGUUCGGGAAUCAACCCCCCGAGCAGUUUUCUCCGAGGCCGAAGAAACCCAAGUUCACGUCCAGCAGCUGUGACAGCAUCAUCCUGGAGUGUCGGAGCGUCCGGGUGGGCACUCUGCGCAGGAUGGUGACGAAGCCCGUCGUCUUUUCCAUCGAGCAGAUCAAGCUGGAGACUGAAGGCUCGGAGCGCGACACCGUGGAGAACAUCUGUCUGCGGGCGUCGGAGCUGAUCAGCUGCGAGUGGUGCAGCGUCCGGAAGCUUCCGGUCUUGUUCUUCCAGACGAGUCCGGCGGAGUGCGCCCGGCUGCGCUCGCAGCUCGACAUGUCGGAGGAGAAGGGAGCGCACUGGUACGACUGUGCCGGGGACCAGUCGGACGAGAAGUUCAUCGUCCUGAUCUUCGAGAACGGGCUGGUGAUGAAGGAGCAGGCCAUCCUGGAGGACAUCCUGGGCGAGAUCGGCCGCACCAACAACCUCAGCAACUUCCCCGCCAAGCUGCCCUUCGAGGAGGCCAACAUCCGGCUGGUCAACUACAACAAGGCCUUGAAGCAGAAGGAGGAGAAGGAGAAGCCGACCCAAAGCCCUCACAAACCCUCACUCGGCUCCCCGGUGAACAAGGUGGUGCAGGCCUCCCCGGCCUCCGUGCUCGCGUGCUCGCGGAUGACCACCCGCCAGCACGCCGGCAGCUACUUUGAGGACGAGGACGAGGACAUGACCGACCUCCAGCCGACCUUCUCGGGGCCGAUCGUCAAGUUGAUGGUGUACCCGCCUCCUCCGGCCAAAGGCGGCAUGUCGGUCACCAACGAAGACCUGCACUGCCUCAACGACGGAGAGUUCCUCAACGACGUCAUCAUAGACUUUUAUUUAAAAUAUUUAGUUCUGGAGAAGUUGAAAAAGGACGACGCACAAAGAAUCCACGUGUUCAGCUCGUUCUUCUACAAGAGGCUGAACCAGAGGGAGCGGAGGAACGCGCCCGACGCCACCAACCUGCCAAUCCAGAAAAGGAAGCACAACCGGGUGAAGACCUGGACUCGGCACGUGGAUCUCUUCCAGAAGGACUUCAUUUUUGUUCCCAUCAACGAGUCAGCUCACUGGUACCUGGCCGUCAUCUGCUUCCCGGGUCUCACGGGUCCGGUUUACGAGCAGAACCCGCUCUACCACGGCGCCCCGUCGGAGGAGAACCUCCCGGAUCACUGCCGUCCUCUGUCCCCCGACGGGGACGGCCUGGACGAGCCCUCGGAGGACCCGCUCGCCGGCGCCCCCGAGUCCGAGCCCUCCGCCAAGGAGACCGCCACAGACGGGGGACCCGAGGCUCCCGGCACCGGCCCGGCGGAGCCAGAGCAACAAUACACAAGUGAACUGCAGAGAAUCAGCGUUUGUUACGGAGCGCGAGGAGACGACGAGACCUUCAACUACUCCGACGAGCAGAGCUCCUGUCAGGACGAGUGCAGUGAUGACGGGGCUCUGGCUGAAGACGCUCUGGGCUCGGAGGCCUCGGCUCUGGCCGGCAGACUGAACCUCUGCAAACAGCCCUGCAUCCUCACCAUGGACUCCCUGCGCGGUCCGGCCAGGUCGACGGUGGUGAAAACUCUCCGAGAGUACCUGGAGGUGGAGUGGGAGGUGCGUAAAGGGACCCGGCGGAGCUUCGGGAAGGACGUGAUGAAGGGUUCGAGUCCCCGCGUGCCUCAGCAGGACAACUUCAGCGACUGUGGCGUCUACGUGCUGCAGUACGUGGAGAGCUUCUUCGAGAAUCCCAUCCCCAGUUUCCACCUGCCGGUGAACCUGUCCGAGUGGUUUCCACAACCGCGGAUGAAGACGAAGCGCGAGGAGAUCAAGGAGCUGAUCCUGAAGAUCAAAGAGCAACAGGAAGUGGACAAGAGGGAGGAGCCUGUCCCGGCUCCGCCCAGCUCCCCCGGGGAGCCCGAGAUCGAAGAGACUUCUGGGUCCACGGGCCCGCCGCCGAACUUACCCAUCAGCCCCUGAAGGGGGCGGGACCUGAUUGUACGCUGCUGGUUUCACUUCAACGUGUCUGGGGGAGAAUAAGGGGGUCCUCAGCGCCCUCCGCUAACCACAGACAUCGAACGCAACAUUGAAUUUUGGCCCGCUCUUAAGUUAUGUUCCCGUGGAUGUUGUUGUUCUCCGGGACGACACGCGCAGAUGGACGUGAUCUUUUUUUAACGCCGUGUGGAGGAAAGAAGAGGAAGUGUGUUCCGACCCGGAGGAGGAGCGCCGCUCGGUGCUCGUUGGGUCUGGUCUUCAGCAUUAAAGCCACUCGAGAUGCAGGAGCGCCGCUCGGUGCUCGUUGGGGAUGGUCUUCAGCAUUAAAGCCACUCGAGAUGCAGGAGCGCCGCUCGGUGCUCGUUGGGGAUGGUCUUCAGCAUUAAAGCCACUCGAGAUGCAGGAGCGCCGCUCGGUGCUCGUUGGGGAUGGUCUUCAGCAUUAAAGCCACUCGAGAUGCAGGAGCGCCGCUCGGUGCUCGUUGGGUCUGGUCUUCAGCAUUAAAGCCACUCGAGAUGCAGGAGCGCCGCUCGGUGCUCGUUGGGGAUGGUCUUCAGCAUUAAAGCCACUCGAGAUGCAGGAGCGCCGCUCGGUGCUCGUUGGGUCUGGUCUUCAGCAUUAAAGCCACUCGAGAUGCAGGAGCGCCGCUCGGUGCUUCAACCGUUUUUAUUCCUGCAUUGAACGUUUUCUGUGCUUUUUUGUUGUUUUAUUUAUGUUUCAAAAGGGUUUGUUUUGUU